UGAAUUUAAUGACACAAUGAAGUUACUUCCAUAUUUACAAGUGCAGUUUACAGUAUUUUAAAAUAAAAAAAAAAGAUGUAAAUUCUGCCAAAUUAUAUAAACCUUAAUGUAUAUAUGGGAUAUCUGAUCAAUUUAAAAGUAUAAUUUUUUUGCCAGAAAUGUAAGUUGUCCUCAUUUACUCUCCCUCAUGUGUUUACAAACCUGUAUGACUUGUACUGUGUGUGGAAUACAAAAGAUGAUGUUUUGCACUUCAAUGUUUUUUAAUAUGUAACAAAAGUGAUACCGUAGAACCAAAACAAUAAUAUCAAUAUUCAACAAUGAGAGUGAAAAAAUGAAAUGUAAGUGAAUUCUUCAGUUUUGGGAUAGUUAAAAAAAAUAAUAAUAAAAUCAUUUAUUCACCCUCACGUCUUUCAUGUUGUGAUGAACCUUUUUUUUCUGCGGAACACAGAUAUUCUGAGUGGGGUCCAAAUUGACCAACAAAAAUAAAUAAAGAAAUAAAAAAGAUUAUCGUCUCGUGUGCCCCACAGAAUAAAGACAGUCAUACAAAUUUGGAAUAAAAUGAGGAUGAUUAAAUGAUGACAGAAGAUUCAUUUUAGGUGAACUAUCCCUUAAAAUAAUUUUUUAUUAUGGUACUGUUUAUUGUGUAAACCAGUUAUGUAAUAAUAAAGCUUGAUACUUUUGCUCUAUAUUUAGAAUUUUUGUACACAAGUUAUACUUUUUUUUUUUUUUUAAUUAUAAAAGUUUAAAUUUUGUUUUGUUUUUAGAUAAAUUCUGAAAGAUACCUAAGAUGAUAAUCUGUGCCAAAUCUUUUCUUCCAGGUGUGUCUGGAGUUUAUUUAGAUGAAACCAUGUUGAAAUCAGUGAUGGAGGGAGAUUCUGUCACUUUAAACACUUCUUCAUUUCUGAUUGUAGUAUUUCUGCUGCUGCUGGUCACAGUUGUAGUCGUGUUGAUUUUCUGUCACAGUAGAAAUUGCACACAAGCAAAACAAGAUGCUCAGGCUAAUGAAGAAGAGUUUGAUUAUACAGAAGCAACAUUAAUUCCACACAGAGCUCCGGAUGCUAUGUGAGUCUCUUAUCUUACAGAAGUCUAAUGGACGGGAUCAGAUGGUGUAUUCAGAAGUUGUGUUAAGAUGUUGGUAGGAUGAAAUACCAUCAUCUCAAUGAUAACAGGAUGUGCCUCUUUUUUCAGGUGAUUUUCAGGGGCUCAUACAUGUACAACUAGAUCAAAUGCGUUCUAUACUGUAAAAAAUGAUAACCUGGCUGCAAAUGUUACCUUGUAGAGUCCAUCAAAUUGUUUGGUUGCAUAAUGUAUAUGACUUUUUGUUUUUUUCUGUUAAUAUGAAGGAAUUUUCCGUAUUUUGGAUGUUCAAAUAUAUCUUUGAGUUGAAUAAAACCAGAUCAUUUAGAUGCUACCA
ensembl:lncRNA